CACUCCUACGGGAGGCAGCAGUGGGGAAUUUUGGACAAUGGGCGAAAGCCUGAUCCAGCAAUGCCGCGUGAGUGAAGAAGGCCUUCGGGUUGUAAAGCUCUUUUGUCAGGGAAGAAACGGUGAAAGCUAAUAUCUUUUGCUAAUGACGGUACCUGAAGAAUAAGCACCGGCUAACUACGUGCCAGCAGCCGCGGUAAUACGUAGGGUGCAAGCGUUAAUCGGAAUUACUGGGCGUAAAGCGUGCGCAGGCGGUUUUGUAAGUCUGAUGUGAAAUCCCCGGGCUCAACCUGGGAAUUGCAUUGGAGACUGCAAGGCUAGAAUCUGGCAGAGGGGGGUAGAAUUCCACGUGUAGCAGUGAAAUGCGUAGAUAUGUGGAGGAACACCGAUGGCGAAGGCAGCCCCCUGGGUCAAGAUUGACGCUCAUGCACGAAAGCGUGGGGAGCAAACAGGAUUAGAAACCCGUGUAGUCCCAUGAU
rnacentral:rRNA from 1 species